rnacentral:rRNA from 1 species
AUUGAACGCUGGCGGCAUGCUCUACACAUGCAAGUCGAACGGUAACAGGUUAAGCUGACGAGUGGCGAACGGGUGAGUAAUGCAUCGGAACGUGCCCGAUCGUGGGGGAUAACGCAGCGAAAGCUGCGCUAAUACCGCAUACGAUCUGAGGAUGGAAGCGGGGGACCGUAAGGCCUCGCGCGAUCGGAGCGGCCGAUGUCAGAUUAGGUAGUUGGUGGGGUAAAGGCCCACCAAGCCGACGAUUUGUAGCUGGUCUGAGAGGACGACCAGCCACACUGGGACUGAGACACGGCCCAGACUCCUACGGGAGGCAGCAGUGGGGAAUUUUGGACAAUGGGCGAAAGCCUGAUCCAGCAAUGCCGCGUGCAGGAAGAAGGCCUUCGGGUUGUAAACUGCUUUUGUACGGAGCGAAAAGGUCCUUUCUAAUACAAGGGGCUCAUGACGGUACCGUAAGAAUAAGCACCGGCUAACUACGUGCCAGCCGCCGCCGUAA